AUGUUUGAGAGAGUGCGAAAAAUUUAAAGGAAAAAAUAAAACAAGAAAAAUUAAAAAAUAUAUAUAAAAAAAUAUGGAUGGGUAAUUGAAAGGGUUGAGUUUUAAUUUUUUUUUGUUAAGGAAAAAAAUUAAGCCCCAAACAAGUGUAAAGCGGCGGCGGCGGUUUCAAUAACACACAACGUGCUCCAUACGUAAAAACAGAAACAAAAACAUAGAGAAGCUGUCUGUCACUGACAAAUCUCCCACUUCCCAUUUUUUGACUACAAUGAAAACUGAAAGAGCGUCAGCGUAUGACGCCUAAACUAAAGCAAGUGAUGCUAGAAGAAAUGCGAGACUUUUCAAUAAAAAUGCAGCAAAAAUCAAUAGCGUAUGAAAUCAUGGAUAAAGCCGAUCUAAAUAUUAACAAAAUGGAUAGUGAUAUUUGAUAAAUAGACGAGUGUGUGUGGGUAUGCAAGCAAAAGCAAAUAAAUAUUGAGUGAUUUGAAGGAAUGCAAUAAAUGUAAAGUGAAUUUCAAUUGAAAAAA
rnacentral:sRNA from 1 species